AUUGAACGCUGGCGGCAGGCCUAACACAUGCAAGUCGAACGAGUGGCGGACGGGUUAGCAAUGUAUGGGCAACUGCCUGAUGGAGGGGGAUAACUACUGGAAACGGUAGCUAAUACCGCAUACCAUCAGAUGUGCCCAGGUGGGAUUAGCUAGUGGGUGAGGUAAAGGCUCACCAAGGCGACGAUCCCUAGCUGGUCUGAGAGGAUGACCAGCCACACUGGAACUGAGACACGGUCCAGACUCCUACGGGAGGCAGCAGUGGGGAAUAUUGGACAAUGGGCGAAAGCCUGAUGCAGCCAUGCCGCGUGUAUGAAGAAGGUCUUCGGGUUGUAAAGUACUUUCAGCGGGGAGGCGUUACCCGCAGAAGAAGCACCGGCUAACUCCGUGCCAGCAGCCGCGGUAAUAC
rnacentral:rRNA from 1 species